UAUUACAUGACGUUGAACACGAUUAUUCAAUGUGAAUUUACAGAUUGAAAAAAGUUGAAUCCUUAAAAGCAUUGAAUUCUAAUGACAUGAAUAUUACUUGACACGGAACGUAAUUAUUUGAUGUGAAUUUCCAUCACAUAUGAUGUAAAUAAAAAGAAGCAUCACAUAUGACGGAAUUUUCAGUGCGAAUUGAAUAUUACACGUCUUAAAUAUUUUACAUGUCUUUCAAAUUUUACAUGGCAGUUGAAGUUUACAGACGUGUAAUGAUUAAUUCGCUCUGAAAAUUUCAUCAUAUAUGAUCCUUCUUUUUCUUUCUUAAUUCUUAACAAACAAAUGUUGAAGUCUAAACAUCACUGGAAAUAAAAUUUCUAAGCGCUCUCAAAGUAAGAAAAUUCGAUGGUUUCAAUAAGCAAAACGACCGUUUUAAUAAUGUUCAUCGGAGUUCAAUUGAUAUGAUUUUAAAAGAAAAAAAACACCCGUUCCCUCAAAUUUGUGUGCAGAGUGACAAAGACGGAAACUGCGGAUCUUUUGACAAUCCGGUUUCGUUCAGUAAUUUUAUCGUGUUGUUUUGAUGGUGCGGAAUUUGCUUGUUUCCAAGGUUUCCUUUUUUUUCGUUCGCUAGCGUAAAAAAGUUCGGGUCGGUUACAGUCUAGCUUUGCUCCAAGCCAGAAUAAUUUAAGUGAAAAUUGUGUAUUAAGACAGUGACUUUCGUCGAAGGUUUGGACAUAGGGAUGCACUUUGACAAAAUCGGUCCUUCUGACGAGCAUCCGAAAAGCCCACACCAAUAGUACGGAAGAUGUUACAAAUAAUCGUUGCUCAGUGAGCCCGUGAAAUAAGGUUUGUUCCUCGAAAAUUGUCGUCCGGAAAUGGUGCGAAGAAACAUCGAAAAAUCCUGACGGAACAGUAUUUUUAUUUUGCCCGUAUUUCGGAAUGUUUUCCGUCUGGAGUCGGGAAGAAAAAGAGUAAACAAGACGAACGGAAAGCAGCAAUAACCAAAAAGUACGACGAUUGCGACACUGGACACUGGAGAUGGUCAAAAGAAGGCUAAAAGGCAUAACGAAUCCAAGGCAGCAUAGCGUAAGAACAACAAGAAACCGAACGCGCGGCGCAAAUCGAGAACAAUUUGCCGCCCCGAUAGAAAGGCAAAACAGGCGUUUCGUGAUGCGGCCCAAACAGCGCCCAUCUAAAAUCCGGACUCGUAGUGAAUUGUAAUCGAUGAGUGGUCGUGAUACUACCUUUCUUACGAUGGUUCAUGAUAAACACAUCCACGUCAGAUGCGAAUGCGAUCGAUCUGGACGACGGAAUUGGAAAACAAAAACGCAGUGGUUGCCAGCUCAAUCCCGCAGCCAGUGUAGAUGCGUCCUGGUAUGGCAUGGUGCCAGAAACUAUCCAAUCCAACGACCGAGACAACUCGAACCACAGCAACCGCAACAAGGACAGAUGACCAGUGUAAGAUUCGUCUCAGUAGCAGAUGUACGUUGAAGGCUACGGUCAAGGAAUCCGGAUCAGCAAGGACCCGGUGACUUACGAGUAAAAGUUAGUGUUCUUCAUAGUCAUGCAGUUUUUUAUGUCAUUAUUUUUGCAAAAAAAUUUGUUGGUUGAUAAUUUUUGCCAUGAGUGUCUUAGUGGAUCGAUA